AGAUUCUUUACCAGCUGAGGCACAAGGGGAACCCAAACAACAGUAAAAACAUGCUUAAAAUAUCCAAGAAUCUACUCCUUCAGGAGACCCUGAGGGUUGAGGGUCAGGAAUUAAUUUUUUCUUCAUGUGACACACUGAGCACCUGCCUUGGGAGAAGCGUGUUAUUGGUAAUUCAAUAAACCAAUCAGAUGUUGUACCUUGAGCUGGGAGCUUCAUCCUCCCCACCACUCUUCAGAGAUUCUAGGACCUCCACACUCUGUCCUGGGGCUUCUGGAUGUCCUUCGUACUAAAGGAAGUUAGGGUAUA
rnacentral:sRNA from 1 species